UACGAAGGGGGCUAGCGUUGCUCGGAAUCACUGGGCGUAAAGCGCACGUAGGCGGACUCUUAAGUCGGUGGUGAAAUCCUGGAGCUCAACUCCAGAACUGCCUUCGAUACUGGCGAUCUUGAGUCCGGAAGAGGUGAGUGGAACUCCUAGUGUAGAGGUGGAAUUCGUAGAUAUUAGGAAGAACACCAGUGGCGAAGGCGGCUCACUGGUCCGGUACUGACGCUGAGGUGACGAAAGCGUGGGGAGCAAACAGG
rnacentral:rRNA from 1 species